rnacentral:rRNA from 1 species
CCUACGGGAGGCAGCAGUGAGGAAUAUUGGGCAAUGGAGGCAACUCUGACCCAGCCAUGCCGCGUGAGUGAAGAAGGUUUUCGGAUUGUAAAGCUCUUUCGGAGGGGACGAGGAUGACGGUAGCAGCUAAAGAAGCCCCGGCGAACUUCGUGCCAGCAGCCGCGGGAAUACGAAGGGGGCAAGCGUUGUUCGGAAUUACUGGGCGUAAAGGGAGUGUAGGCGGUUUAGGAAGAGCGUGGUGAAAUCCCAGGGCUUAACUUUGGAAUUGCCAUUAGAACUAUUAGACUAGAAUUCCCGAGAGGCUAGUGGCAUCCCCAGUGUCGUGGUGUACUUCGUAGAUCUUGGG